rnacentral:lncRNA from 1 species
GGAGUCUCUUCAGGGCGCACGGGGUCCUCGGAGGGAUGAGCACUUUCAGCCUCCGCACGGUGAGCCUGGAGCUGGCUAGGUGCCUCAUCGAAUCCUCCCCAAAACCCAAUGAGCAGGGUCUCAGAGCCAAGCGCCCAGACAGGCCUGGCAAGUCACAAAGGAGUGAGGAAGGCUCGACCCCACCAGCUGACAGCCAGCAGGCCCUGAGGGAGGACCACCUGCCAGACUCGUUCCAGCAGGUUCUGGAUAUGGACUCAGCCAAUCCCCCAGCCCUGUCGGGACUCAGGUCAAUGUCCCUCCUGGUCCCUGAGUCCCCAUCCAAGCCCCCACACCCGUCACUCCCUCCCUGCAGCCUGGUUAGCUGCCUUCCCAGCGCCUCUCACCUCAGGAAAUCCUCUCGAGCGUCGCUGGAGUGAUUUCUUGCUCAUCGUCUGUCUCCGGCCACAAGUGCAGGGUCUGUAGGGGCAGGAUGGGGACCACGGCCGCACCCCCAGAGCCUGGAGCUGUGCCUGGCACAGAGCACGUGCUUAACAGAGCCCGUUGGAUGAAUGCCACACGUUGGCCGCUGGAGGAUGCUGGAAGAAAUCUCCAAGAUCGCCCUCUGACCUGCUCACUUGACAGAGGACAUGGUGGGAGGUGGGGGGCUCCAGAACUGUGCCCCUGACCACCUGGCUGCACUGCCACACGGCACACAUCAUGGACACACAGGACACGGAUUGCCAAGGAGCCCAUUGACUUUCUAGCAAGAGCGAAGCCGUCUGUGCGCAAGACUCAGUCUGAGGAGUGAUGGGCCACAGGCUGCAGUGGAAUAAACUGGGAAGCUCUGCUCCCCUUGUCACAUCCUGAGCUCAAACCAGACAGGGUCCUUAGGAGGUGACAGCCGACAGCGUUAAAGAAAGUGUCAGCGGUUGCUGUGGGAAGAUGUUCCCCCAGGAGAGGAAGCUGGGGAGCCAGCACCCACAAUCUUGGUGGAGUCUCUUUCUAGAACCUGCUUGCGUCUCUCAGCCACCUGUCACACAGAGCUGCCUGGAGACCAAGUGACGUGGGUGAGGCUUCAUUCCGGGCACAGCUGGUGUGGUAGGACCCUCGGGGCCAGAGUCUGGGAUGCGGGUCCCAGGCCUGGCGCUCCGGCCUCUCGGCUGGGUGACCUCUGGAGAGUCUCCCAGCCUGACAGGUCUCUGUUCUCCUCAUCUUUGCAACGAGCAGAAUGAGCCUCUCCCGCCACCUCCCAGGGCUGUUGGGGGUCACCUCCACUGAUGGAUGCCAGGACACGCUGGCAGCGUGUGUGGUUGCUCUCUGCCUGCAAAUUAUUCCAAAAUCUGGUGCCGGGUUUCCAGCCCAUGACGUGUUUUCAUGUCUGUUUCUAGUCCAUAUUGCAAAGGUAGUUUCCUCUGCAGCCAGCACAGGUACGUUACUAUUUAUUAAACUCUGCACGUUAUUGAGAUUUUACUAGUUUUCUCUCGUGUCCUUUUUCCGUUCUACACUCCCAUUCAGGACACCAAAUUAUCUACACUGUGUGUUUCAAACAUUUUUGGACAUAACCCAAAGUUAAAAGUGCAUUUUAC